GACGAACGCUGGCGGCGUGCUUAACACAUGCAAGUCGAACGGAAAGGCCCUGCUUUUGUGGGGUGCUCGAGUGGCGAACGGGUGAGUAACACGUGAGUAACCUGCCCUUGACUUUGGGAUAACUUCAGGAAACUGGGGCUAAUACCGGAUAGGAGCUCCUGCUGCAUGGUGGGGGUUGGAAAGUUUCGGCGGUUGGGGAUGGACUCGCGGCUUAUCAGCUUGUUGGUGGGGUAGUGGCUUACCAAGGCUUUGACGGGUAGCCGGCCUGUGAGGGUGACCGGCCACAUUGGGACUGAGAUACGGCCCAGACUGCUACGGGAGGCAGCAGUGGGGAAUAUUGCACAAUGGGCGGAAGCCUGAUGCAGCAACGCCGCGUGCGGGAUGACGGCCUUCGGGUUGUAAACCGCUUUCGCCUGUGACGAAGCGUGAGUGACGGUAAUGGGUAAAGAGGCACCGGCUAACUACGUG
rnacentral:rRNA from 1 species